rnacentral:rRNA from 1 species
UACGUAGGCAGCGAGCGUUGUUCGGAGUUAUUGGGCGUAAAGCGCACGUAGGCGGUUCGUUAAGUCGGAUGUGAAAGCCCUCGGCUCAACUGAGGAAGUGCACCCGAAACUGGCGAGCUUGAGUACGAAAGAGGAUCGCGGAAUUCCCGGUGUAGAGGUGGAAUUCGUAGAUAUCGGGAGGAACACCGGUGGCGAAGGCGGCGAUCUGGGUCGAUACUGACGCUGAGGUGCGAAAGCGUGGGGAGCAAACAGG